GCGCGCAAUUACCCAAUCCUGACUCAGGGAGGUAGUGACAAGAAAUAACAAUAAACCGGCUUAUGCCGGUUUAAUUGGAAUGAGUACAAUUUAAACAUCUUAACGAGGAACAAUUGGAGGGCAAGUCUGGUGCCAGCAGCCGCGGUAAUUCCAGCUCCAAUAGCGUAUACUAAAGUUGUUGCAGUUAAAAAGCUCGUAGUUGGAUUUCUGUGGGGACGGAGCGGCCGGCCGCAACACGCGGUUCGAGCUAGCGCUUUCCCUACAUCCUGCCGCGAACCGUGCUACCAUUAGUUUGGUGGCGCCGGGGAUCGGCUCGAUUACUUUGAGAAAAAUAGAGUGUUCAAAGCAGGCCACACGCCUUGAAUAAGUUAGCAUGGAAUAAUAACUAAGGACUUCGGUUCUAUUUUGUUGGUGUUCGGGACUGAAGUAAUGAUUGAUAGGGACAGUUGGGGCGGUCUGUAUUCCAAAGCGAGAGGUGAAAUUCUUAGACCUUCGGAAGACAAACAGCUGCGAAAGCGUUCCGCAAGGAUGUUCCCUUUGAUCAAGAACGAAAGUUGGGGGAUCGAAGACGAUCAGAUACCGUCGUAGUCUCAACUAUAAACUAUACCAGCUAGGGAUCGGCCAACGUUAUUUCAAACCGACUUGGUCGGCACCUUAUGAGAAAUCAAAGCAUCUGGGUUCCGGGGGGAGUAUGGUCGCAAGGCUGAAACUUAAAGGAAUUGACGGAAGGGCACCACCAGCCGUGGAGCCUGUGGCUUAAUUUGACUCAACACGGGAAAACUUACCAGGUCCAGACAUAGUAAGGAUUGACAGAUUGAUAGCUCUUUCUUGAUUCUGUGGGUGGUGGUGCAUGGCCGUUCUUAGUUGGUGGAGUGAUUUGUCUGGUUAAUUCCGUUAACGAACGAGACCCCAGCCUGCUAAAUAGCGCGCGUGAGCUUUGCUCGCGGCGAGCUUCUUAGAGGGACUAUGAUGCGCGAUAGCACAUGGAAGUUUGGGGCAAUAACAGGUCUGUGAUGCCCUUAGAUGUUCUGGGCCGCACACGGGCUACACUGGCGCCUGCAACGAGCAUAUCAGCUGGCCCGAGAGGGUCUUGGCUAAUCUUUUGAACCGGCGCCGUGCUUGGGAUUGACCUUUGCAAUUGUUGGUCAUGCAACGAGGAAUGCCUUGUAAACGCGAGUCAUCAGCUCGCAUUGAAUACGUCCCUGCCCAUUGUACACACCGCCCGUCGCUCCUACCGAUGAAUGUUCCGAUGAAAUUUUCGGAGAGCACCUGUGAACUUGGCUCUGCCUUGCGAACGGGAGGCUCAAAGUCACUAAAAUCUGAACAUUGAG
rnacentral:rRNA from 1 species